GCUCAGGAUGAACGCUGGCGGCGUGCCUAAUACAUGCAAGUCGAACGCUGGAGAUCUAGCUUGCUAGAUCGAAGGAGUGGCGAACGGGUGAGUAAUACAUAAGCAACCUACCCACGAAGACUGGGAUAAUCUCUGGAAACGGGGACUAAUACCGGAUAGGUAAUCGGAAGGCAUCUUCUGGUUAUUAAAGGUUAAAAACACUGGUGGAUGGGCUUAUGGCGCAUUAGUUAGUUGGUGAGGUAACGGCCCACCAAGACGAUGAUGCGUAGCCGGCCUGAGGGGGUGAACGGCCACAUUGGGACUGAGACACGGCCCAGACUCCUACGGGAGGCAGCAGUA
rnacentral:rRNA from 1 species